UGACUGGGGACCCAGGCAACGAAAGCAAGCGCUGCAAAGACGAAGGGGAGCGCCCAAGGAUGAGGAACGUUCCAAGACACUGAGUGAUUUGCUGAAAAUCACACAUCUAGAUGCAAAGCCAGAAUGCGAGCAGUGACCACCACACUUGACAAAUCCGUUGUUGCACACAUUUGUACUCUUCAAUCAACAAAACCUGAUGCAAAAAACAGAAAAGGGGGAGAUGUACAUGCAUUUUCCCUCACUGCAAAAAAAACACAACUUGUUUAACUACAGGUGUGUUCCUGGUGGUCUUUGAAUGAAGACAUUGACAGAAAGUAACAUAGCAUGCUGGUUAAAGACUGUUUUUAUUCGAAUCCUGGCUUUGCCAAUCAACAGCUGCAUAAAUUAAACUCUCGACCUCAGCUCCCUUAUUUGUAAAACAAGAAUAACAAAAAGACAUUUUUAUAAGGUUGGGUUGAAGGUUAAAUGAAAUAACAGAAGAUUAUCUCUUCACUAAUUUUAGCUGUAGAAAACAGAAGCCAAUCGAAAGAGCUCCCAGUCCAAAGCUGGAACAACUUGAACAACAAAAUAAAUAAUGUAGCAUUGGAUUACAAACCAACCAUAAAA
rnacentral:lncRNA from 1 species